rnacentral:rRNA from 4 species
GGUUAAGCGACUAAGCGUACACGGUGGAUGCCCUGGCAGUCAGAGGCGAUGAAGGGCGUGCUAAUCUGCGAUAAGCGCCGGUAAGGUGAUAUGAACCGUUAUAACCGGCGAUACCCGAAUGGGGAAACCCAGUGUGAUUCGUCACACUAUCAUUAACUGAAUCCAUAGGUUAAUGAGGCGAACCGGGGGAACUGAAACAUCUAAG